GUCUAAAAUUUUUAGAUGUGGUAAAGGCACCCCAAGCCAAGGAUCCAUAGCCUUCCUGAACGGGAGAAAGGCCACAGUGGGACUGAAACAAGGCCCAUCCGCAUUUGCGGCAGCAGUGAAGAAUCUUUGACAAUGGGCGAAAGCCUGAUCAUGCAUUUCUGCGUAAGAUAUGGAAGAAAAGAUUCCAUCGUUCUAAGGGAAGGCAAAUUGUCGGAACCCUUGUUUAUUUUUGGCAAAGAAAAAAAAACUUUGGUCCUUUUUAAAAAAGGAUUUAUAAAAAAUGUUUUUUAAUCUAUAGAAACCAAAACUUUAGAUUAAAAAACGUUUUUGAAAAACUAAAAAUAAAAUCCCUGGCAAACUCUGUGCCAGCCGCCGCGGUAAUACAGAGAGGGAGAGUGUUGAGCGAAUGGACUAGGCAUAAAAAGCAGGUAGGUUGUUUGUUAAGUUCUAAGAUUAUUUUUUUGAAAGUUCAAAAAAGAUCUAAGAAAAUAACUUUCUUGAAUAUUUCUAUGGGUAAGGGAAUGGCCCUAGGACUGGUAGAAUAGUAGCAUAAGGGUUGGAACGUCCAAAGCGAAGGCACUUACCUGGGAAAUAAUUGACACUGAGCUGCGGAAGUGUGGAGACCAAAUGAGAUUAGAGACCUCAGUAGCCCACACCGUCAACGAUGAGUGCUUUACAGAUAUUUUUCUGUGAACGCCAAAUGUAGAAGCACUCUGCCUGGGGAGUACCGUCGCAAGGCAGAAACUCAAAAGAAUUGACUGCUAGAGAGAACAAUGGUGGAACAUUGGGGUUUAAUAGAAAACGUGCGACAAGAAGCUGGUGUGUAGUCUUGUGGUGAAAACCCACCAUGCAGCCCCCAUGUGCUUUUUCAUUAAGAAAAUGCAGUGCAUGUGCUAACCAUUGCAUGCAUUUCAAGUAAUUGAAAUGUGUGAAGCCAAUGGGACAGGGCGUGGAAAUAUCAUGUCAGACAGGUAUUAUCUGGGUCUUGCAAAACAUCUACUUGAGUAGCAAGAGCAAACUAGUGACUAUAGAGGCCUCGUAAAUUAAUCUGACAGAGCAGCAGAUGGGUCCUACUGGCUCUGCGUUUUAAGAGCUGGUAGAGUGGGGAAAACAUACCAUACGGGGUGUAGCUAGGCUCUAAGGAUGUCAUAAGGUGGCUACACAUAGAACUUGGUAAACCCUAUGUGAUCCAAUAAGGGCAACGCACUUUUGUUCAAAGAACCUUUUGUUCUAUCGAACAAAAGCGUCUAAAGACCAAAAGGGCGAAGCACUUUGGUUCUAACGAACCAAAGGGUCUUUAGACACUUUCGGUCCUUGGACCGAAAGGGCGCAGCACUUUUGUUCUUUGAACAAAAGGAUUAUUGGAGGGUUAGAAGCAAUUCUAACGAACUCACAGAGGGCAGAGGAUAAAGAAUAAAAAGCUAAUGCCUCUCUGUAAUGGAGUGGAUAGAGCAUAUGCUCAACCUGAAAGGGUGCUGACUUAUUCUAUAUAGACGGUCUAAAAAAAAAAAAGAAAAGGGGAUCGUGAAGAGUUAAUCUCUUUAGUGUAGAACCUCUACUUUAGAAAGUAGAACGCCUGAGCCGUAUGAUGGGAAACUAUCACGUACGGUUCUAACGGGGGGAAAGCCUGAAAAGGCCUACCUAUCCAACCAACGUCUAAAACCUUACCAAUAUUUGAAUGUAGAUUU
rnacentral:rRNA from 1 species